CCAGACAUAGUAAGGGUUGACCGAAUUGGGGGUUCUUUUUUGGAUUCUAUGGGUGGGUGGGGCAUGGCCGUUCAUAGUGGGUGGAGUGAUUAGUCUGGUAAAUCCGUUAACGGAACGGGACUUCAGCCUGUUAAAUAGUGUGCAUAUUGGAAAGAAUGUGUUCGACUUCUUAGAGGGACAUUUCGGUUUUACCGGAAGGAAGUUUGAGGCAAUAACAGGUCUGUGAUGCCCUUAGAUGUUAUGGGCCGCACGCGCGCUACAAUGAUGAAUUCAACAAGUUUAUAACCUUGGUUGAAAAGCCUGGGUAAUCUUUUGAACUUUCGUCGUGAUGGGGCUAGACCCUUGCAAUUAUUGGUCUCCAACGAGGAAUUCCUAGUAAACGCAAGUCAUCAGCUUGCAUUGAUUACGUCCCUGCCCUUUGUACACACCGCCCGUCGCACCUACCGAUUGAAUGGUCCGGUGAAAUCUUCGGACCGUGACUUUGACUUGUUCAUUCAAGACGCUGUUAUGGGAAGUUGAUUAAACCUUACCAUUUAGAGGAAGGUGAAGUCGUAACAAGGUUUCCGUAGGUGAACCUGCAG
rnacentral:rRNA from 1 species